rnacentral:rRNA from 1 species
GACGAACGCUGGCGGCGUGCUUAACACAUGCAAGUCGAGCGGUAAGGCCCUUUCGGGGGUACACGAGCGGCGAACGGGUGAGUAACACGUGGGUGACCUGCCCUCAGCUCUGGGAUAAGCCUGGGAAACUGGGUCUAAUACCGGAUAUGACUCCAUGACGCAUGUUGGUGGGGUGGAAAGCCUUGUGCGGCUGAGGAUGGGCCCGCGGCCUAUCAGCUUGUUGGUGGGGUGAUGGCCGUACCAAGGCGACGACGGGUAGCCGGCCUCGAGAGGGCGACCGGCCGACACUGGGACUGAGACACGGCCCAGACUCCUACGGGAGGCGAGCAGUGGGGAAUCUUGCGCAAUGGGCGAAAGCCUGACGCAGCGACGCCGCGUGAGGGAU